CUCACGAGUCCGGGGCCCAAGUCCCAGACGCUACCCAUGGAGGCGUCCAGCGAGCCGCGGCUGGAUGCUAAGUCCGAGGUCACCAACCAGCAAUAUUAAAAUGAAGAUACUUUAUUUAAAUAUGACCAGCGUUGAAACUAAAAGUUGAGUGUAACUGCAGUAAAAUUGAAUAAUAUCUGCAUUCCAGAAUUUCUACAGACAGUUCAAGGAAAUUGCUGCAGUUAUUGAAACGGUGUGAAGACGGAUUCUUUGGUUGAUAAAUUGCUGUCAUUCUAAAGUCAGGGACUUCACUUUCUGCAACAAAACCAAAUAAGGAUGGAACAUUUAUUGAAUGAAAAAUGCACUUUUGUUUUUCCAUUUUUUUAAAUAAUAAAAAUCAGACAAACAGGAA
rnacentral:sRNA from 1 species